rnacentral:rRNA from 1 species
CUCCUCUUGUUGUCCGCGGAGGACAU